UGCGCUCCCCUCAGUCCCUGAGACCCUAACUUGUGAUGUUUACCGUUUAAAUCCACGGGUUAGGCUCUUGGGAGCUG
ensembl:miRNA Mir125b-1 microRNA 125b-1